rnacentral:rRNA from 1 species
AUUGAACGCUGGCGGCAUGCCUAACACAUGCAAGUCGAACGGCAGCAUGGUGCAGUUUACUGUACUGAUGGCGAGUGGCGGACGGGUGAGUAACGCGUAGGAAUACACCUUAGGACUGGGACAACUUGUGGAAACGCGAGCUGAUACCGGAUAAUAUCUGAGGAUAAAAGCUGGGGACCUUAGGGCCUGGCGUCUAGAGAGUAGCCUGCGUCUGAUUAGCUAGUUGGUGGGGUAAGGGCCUACCAAGGCGACGAUCGGUAGCUGGUCUGAGAGGAUGGAAGGCCACACUGGGACUGAGAGACGGCCCAGACUCCUACAGGAGGCAGCAGUUGGGAAUAUUGGACAAUGGGGGGAACCCUGAUCCAGCGAUGCCGCGUGUGUGAAGAAGGCCUGAGGGUUGUAAAGCACUUUAGGUGGGGAGGAGGAUUUAUUGGUUAAGAGCUGAUGAAUUGGACGUUACCCACGGAAUAAGCACCGGCUAACUCCGUGCCAGCAGCCGCCGUAA